GCACAACGCGAAGAACCUUACCAAGGCUUGACAUACACCAGAACACCCUGGAAACAGGGGACUCUUUGGACACUGGUGAACAGGUGGUGCAUGGUUGUCGUCAGCUCGUGUCGUGAGAUGUUGGGUUAAGUCCCGCAACGAGCGCAACCCUCGUUCUAUGUUGCCAGCACGUAAUGGUGGGAACUCAUGGGAUACUGCCGGGGUCAACUCGGAGGAAGGUGGGGAUGACGUCAAAUCAUCAUGCCCCUUAUGUCUUGGGCUUCACGCAUGCUACAAUGGCCGGUACAAUGGGCUGCGAUACCGUAAGGUGGAGCGAAUCCCAAAAAGCCGGUACCCAGUUCGGAUUGAGGUCUGCAACUCGACCUCAUGAAGUCGGAGUCGCUAGUAAUCGCAGAUCAGCAACGCUGCGGUGAAUACGUUCCCGGGUCUUGUACACACCG
rnacentral:rRNA from 1 species